CUCUGCGGCCAAUACGGUGCAGCGGCCUAUUGUCCGGAAAAAUACGGUACUUAAUAUUUAUACUAAAAUCUAUAACGCGUCAAAUUAACGUUGAUUAGUAACACUACAAUUCAUUAUUCAAACGUCGUUAGACCCAUGACACAUAGGUCUUUGCACCGUGGCAACAUUGAUAUGUUUGCAAACGGCAGUAACAAAAGGCACGGUGUUUCCGUUAUAUAUGAAGGCUAAAUUGUACAUCUAUAAGAAAAAAUACCAGCCAGAGAACAUAGCUACGUUAUGCGGACCAAAACGGCAUUUGAGGAAGUUAAUAUUAAGUUAAUGUUAACUGUUGGCUAAUGACCCAAUGGCAUACUGACGUGAAGCGUAAGCGAGGUGUACAUCGCAUUUCUUCAAACAACGUUCUGGAAAGUUGUCUCGACCUGAAAAGCAUUGCCGUGAAACAUUAACAAGAACACUAAUCGGAAAAUAAUUCGGAUACAUUGUGCGUAUGAUAGCGCCGGUGGAUGAUAAACAAGAACAAUAUUUUAUAAAGAUAAUGGAUAUUACUAAACACAUCUACUGAAAUGUCUUGGUGUUUAACAGGUAUCCAAUGAAGAAGCAAAUAUAUUGGGUAGCAAUGUUUCUACUGCCAAACAAAUAAUAGCAAUAAAAUCAAAAUACACAACCUAUAAGCCUUGUUAGAGAAUAUAUAGAUAUAUAACAGUUAUCCGUUUUAAAACAAAAUUCCCUGCUUCAUUGAGAGAGUCGUUCGUAUGUAGAUACCAUUCAAAGUAGAUCUUGAGUAUAAUAUUACAUCUCAUUAGAGUCAGGUGCUUCCGAUACCUUUUUUACCGUAUGGAACGGAGGAUAUCGUUGAAGAAUGACGAGUAAUUCGGAGUUGAUUUCCAGUAGCAACAAUAAUAUAAGCUAUUGUCAUGAAACUCACUAUAAUGACUAUGACAUUUCUGAAGUAUCCCAUUAUUUCAACGUAACAGAAAUGGUGUUUUCACUAAGUGGAGUUAUAUUAAACAUUUCUAUGGUUGUAUUACUUUUACUGAAAGGAUCCUUGGAAACGCAUCUCAAAUUUGUCUUGAGCCUUGCAACAUCAGACCUUCUAAUAGCUUUGUUGCAGUUUGUGUCGCUAUUUUAUCAUUUUCCAAUGGUUUUGAAGGACUAUGCAAAUCAGACAAAACCAUCCUUUAUUAGCAAGACGUUUCUUUGUUUAUUUGUAAUGGCUCAGUAUGCUGGGCUGGGGACAAUGUUGGCUAUUUCAGUAGAUAUACUUAUAAAGAUACGGAAGCCUUUACGAUACAAAAUUCUAAUGUCAAAAAGGCGUGGAAACAUCAUCAUAAUAUGUUUGUGGUUGGUGUCACCUGCAAUUUUCAUAUGCAUAUCAUUCUUUGUGCUGGCCUCCACGUUGGACUAUCCGGAAGAUGCCUCAGUUUUACUUGUCGAAGCAAGCAGUUUGUUUUUCUUGCUUUGCGGUUUAUUUUUUUAUAGUAUUUUUUUUUUUAUACAUAAUAAUAAUUUGCUCAAUCAGAAACGUUACGAACAGAUAUUCAUCCAGACGGAGGACAAGCAUUAAGAAAGCAGCUGUCACAUUUCUGUUCGUAAUUUUAACCUAUUUUAUAUGUCUUAUGCCUACUAUAUGGCUAUUUUUACCGGUUCUACUCUCUCAUGUUUCUUAUUCGUAUUUACCUGUAAGGUUAGUGGCUUCUUUAUAUAUUGUAAAUACUAUUUGUGAUCCUAUUAUAUACACAUUAAGAAUACCCGAAAUAAAAGAAAAAUACUGGACAAUAUACAGGAAAAUGUGCCAUAGAGGGCACAGUGAAUCUACUGUGUUUAAUCUAACUUAAUAUGCGUGCAAUUUGUUGCAGGAAAAACAUGUAGGUGAUAUCAGCAAGUGAUUUAGAUUAACGCAUCAUUGGCUCAAAUUGCUAGUGAAGUACUAUUUCGUAUCUGUAGCAUAACGAGCAACACUGGAUCAAUACGGGAGGAGAAAAGUCCAACAGGAAAAAAGACACAUUUUAUAUUGUUGUAUGUAACUGUUAUAUUUACAGGCAUUCGUUGUCUAUGUCAAAUCAAUAUGAUUGUAAUAAUUCAAAAUGGACCACAGUCCAGUGUAGUAUCUAAAUCAUGCAAUAUUAGUUCUUUUUUUAUUUCACUUGCUUUACUGUCAAAAGCAAGUCACUAAAUGAAAAACGUAAUGUUUUAAAAGGUUAUAUUAUAUCAUUUUAUAUAACUGUUGCAUUAAUGUAUUGUUUCUCCCCUAAUGAUAUACAAUAAAGAUCUAAAAUGGA
rnacentral:lncRNA from 1 species